GUGGGAUUACUGUCUCAUUGAUAUUUAUACAGUCGUCCAUUGUUACUUGUAGGGUUACUGACAUGUUGAUAUAUAGACAUAUACUUUUCAAUUGUAAUAGAGCGUAUACUACUGGUUUCAUUGGUAUAAGUAGUACACAUGCAUGUGUAUUUAAAAAAAUGUAUGUUGGCCUUCUGUUGUUUAUUGUUGGCAUAUGUAUAUCAUUGUCUAUUUUACGAAAGCGAGUGUAUGCAUUGUUUCUUUUUUUUUUCAUUUUUCGUAGAGUUGCUGUCUGGUUGAUAAUACGUCCCUACGUCUCCUUUUACCUGUGACGAAAGAAAAUGAAAACACUUCCAUUUCUUUUAAAUGUUGACAAAAAAUGAAAAGGAUAUCUGAGCG
rnacentral:lncRNA from 1 species